GCCCGGGUGGUGGAAUGGUUUACACAGCGGACUUAAAAUCCGUGCCCUUAACAGGGUUGAGGGUUCGAAUCCCUCCCCGGGCA
rnacentral:tRNA from 1 species